rnacentral:rRNA from 1 species
AUUAAUAAUUAAUAUAUUUAAUAAAAAUAAUUUUCAUUUAAUAAGUAUUUUAAUGGGGGUUAAAGUAUUUUUUAAAGAAAAAAUUUUUAAAUUUAUAGUUAAUUAGUAUUGUGAAAGAAUUUUGAAAUAUUAUGAAAAAUAAAAUUUUUAGAAAGUAAUUUUUAUUUAUUGUAUCUUGUGUAUCAGAGUUUAUUAAAAAUUUUUAAUUUAUGAAUUAAUUUCUCGAAUUUAAAAGAGUUAAAUAAUUAUUAAAGUUAUUGUAGCAAAAUUAUUUUAAAUAAUUAUUUAGAAAUGAAAUGUUAAUCGUUUUUAAAUAUAUCUAGUUUUUAUAGAAAAAAAUUUAAUUUUAAAUUUAAAAAUUAUUUAAUUAAUUUAUUAAUUAAAUAAUUACUUAAAUUUUAUAAUUUAAGGGAUAAGCUUUAAAUUAAAUUUUUAUAAUAUUAAAUUUUUAUUUUGAAAAUUUUAUAAUUUAUAUUGUUAAUAAAUUUUAUUUUGUUAUAAAUAAUUUCAUUUUUUUUAAAAUUUAAAUUUUAUUUAAUUUUUUAUAUAAAAUUUAUUUAUAAUUAUAUAAAGUUAAUUAUAAUGAUAAAAUUAGUAUAUUAUUUAAUAUUAAAUUAAAAUUAAUUUUUGAUUAAUAAUUAAAUUAAUUAAAAGGAAUUCGGCAAAUAUUUAUUUUCACUUGUUUAUCAAAAACAUGUCUUUUUGUUAUUUAAUUUAAAGUCUAAUCUGCCCACUGAUUUAUAAAAAUUGAAGGGCUGCAGUAUAUUGACUGUACAAAGGUAGCAUAAUCAUUAGUCUCUUAAUUGGUGGCUUGUAUGAAAGAUUGGAUGAAAAAUAUACUGUCUCUUAAUUAAUAUAUAGAAUUUAAUUUUUUAUUUAAAAAGUUAAAAUAACUUAAAAAGACGAGAAGACCCUAUAGAGUUUAAUAAAUUAUUUUAUGAAAGUUUUAUUUAUAUUUAUUAAUAAUUUUAUAAAUUUAUUUAUUUAGUUGGGGUGAUAAAAAAAUAAAUUUAACUUUUUUUAAGUAAUUUACAUGGAUAAGUGAUUAAU